CUUGGAUAGCCGCAGUUAAGGCAGUUGGUGUCUUAUUAAUGAAAACUAGAGAAUUAAAGAGUUUGGGACCAUAAAUGGAGAAGCUUACCGAAGAUAUGGCCUUUCAAGUGAAGGAGAGUAAGGAAAGUGGUUGGGGUAUUCCAAGAUGUGAAGAAUCCUGUCUUUUGUGUGGAAUUCAAGAUAUUGAUCAACUUUUCCCACAAGAAGAAGCAUUUGCCUCCAGGGUACCAUGGACGUGUGGCAAUAUAAAUCCAAAGGACAACUGAGGCCUAGUUAAAAGCCACUUUCCUGCACAUUCAGUCUCAGACUACAUUGUUUGCUAACAAUAGGACUCAAACUGAUUUACAUACUAAGGAAAAACUCUGCUAGGGAAAUUAAUCUUAGGUGUCAUAUCAAUUAAAUGCUCUUAUUACUUAAUUGUAAUGUUUUUAAUGUACUGAAUAGGUUGAUUUGAAUAAAUUCACA